rnacentral:pre_miRNA from 1 species
AUUAUACUCCCUCUGUCCGAAAAUACUUGUCAUCAAAAUGGACAAAAAGGGAUGUAUCUAAAACUAAAAUACAUCUAGAUACAUCCCUUUUAUCCAUUUUGAUGACAAGUAUUUCCGGACGGAGGGAGUAUAUA